UAAUACGUAGGGUGCGAGCGUUAAUCGGAAUUACUGGGCGUAAAGCGUGCGCAGGCGGCUCACUAAGACAGAUGUGAAAUCCCCGGGCUUAACCUGGGAACUGCGUUUGUGACUGGUGGGCUUGAGUGCGGCAGAGGGGGGUGGAAUUCCACGUGUAGCAGUGAAAUGCGUAGAGAUGUGGAGGAACACCGAUGGCGAAGGCAGCCCCCUGGGUCGACACUGACGCUCAUGCACGAAAGCGUGGGGAGCAAACAGGAUUAGAUACCCUGGUAGUCCACGCCCUAAACGAUGCGAACUAGGUGUUGGGGAAGGAGACUUCUUUAGUACCGUAGCUAACGCGUGAAGUUCGCCGCCUGGGGAGUACGGUCGCAAGAUUAAAACUCAAAGGAAUUGACGG
rnacentral:rRNA from 1 species